rnacentral:rRNA from 1 species
UACGUAGGGUGCAAGCGUUAUCCGGAAUUAUUGGGCGUAAAGAGCUCGUAGGCGGUUUGUCGCGUCUGCCGUGAAAGUCCGGGGCUCAACUCCGGAUCUGCGGUGGGUACGGGCAGACUAGAGUGAUGUAGGGGAGACUGGAAUUCCUGGUGUAGCGGUGGAAUGCGCAGAUAUCAGGAGGAACACCGAUGGCGAAGGCAGGUCUCUGGGCAUUAACUGACGCUGAGGAGCGAAAGCAUGGGGAGCGAACAGG